rnacentral:rRNA from 1 species
AGUGAACGCUGGCGGUAGGCCUAACACAUGCAAGUCGAACGGCAGCACAGGAGAGCUUGCUCUCUGGGUGGCGAGUGGCGGACGGGUGAGGAAUACAUCGGAAUCUACUUUUUCGUGGGGGAUAACGUAGGGAAACUUACGCUAAUACCGCAUACGACCUACGGGUGAAAGCAGGGGAUCUUCGGACCUUGCGCGAUUGAAUGAGCCGAUGCCGGAUUAGCUAGUUGGCGGGGUAAAGGCCCACCAAGGCGACGAUCCGUAGCUGGUCUGAGAGGAUGAUCAGCCACACUGGAACUGAGACACGGUCCAGACUCCUACGGGAGGCAGCAGUGGGGAGUAUUGGACAAUGGGCGCAAGCCUGAUCCAGCCAUACCGCGUGGGUGAAGAAGGCCUUCGGGUUGUAAAGCCCUUUUGUUGGGAAAGAAAUCCAGCUGGUUAAUACCCGGUUGGGAUGACGGUACCCAAAGAAUAAGCACCGGCUAACCUCGUGCCAGCCGCCGCCGUAA